CCUACGGGUGACAGCAGUAGGGAAUUUUCGGCAAUGGGGGGAACCCUGACCGAGCAACGCCGCGUGAACGAAGAAGUUCUUCGUAAUGUAAAGUUCUUUUAACAGGGAAGAAAGAGAAAUUUGACGGUACCUGAAGAAUAAGCUCCGGCUAACUACGUGCCAGCAGCCGCGGUAAUACGUAGGGAGCGAGCGUUAUCCGGAAUUAUUGGGCGAAAGGGGUGCGUAGAUGGCAUAGUAAGUCUUGUGUAAAAAUGCUGGGCUAAACCCAGUAGGGCAAAAGAUACUGGAAAGCUAGAGUGUGAGAGAGGAAAGUGGAACUACAUGUGUAGCGGUAAAAUGCGUAAAUAUAUGUAAGAACACCAGUGGCGAAGGCGGCUUGCUGGGUCGAUACUGACAUUGAGGCACGAAGGCGUGGGGAGCGAACAGGAUUAGAUACCCUUGUAGUC
rnacentral:rRNA from 1 species